UACGGAAAGCUGCGGCAAGUACGGAAAAGCUGAGAGCAGGCUUCCAGGAAAAGCUUCUAGCACAACACGCAUCGGCCCGUACCGAAAAUGGACACACAUGGGCAAGGAGAGAAUCCUGAGGUGAGCGAGAGAACUAUAGCUAAGGAACUCUGCAAAAUGACCCCGUAACUUAGGGAGAAGGGGUGCUCCAGAAAUGGAGCCGCAGUAAAACGGCCCAAGCGACUGUUUACCAAAAACACAGCUCUCUGCGAAGGCGCAAGCCGAAGUAUAGGGGGUGACGCCUGCCCGGUGCUGGAAGGUCAAGGGGAGCUGUCAGCGCAAGCGAAGCAGCGAGCCGAAGCCCCAGUAAACGGCGGCCGUAACUAUAACGGUCCUAAGGUAGCGAAAUUCCUUGUCGGGCAAGUUCCGACCCGCACGAAAGGCGUAACGAUUUGGGCGCUGUCUCAGCUGUAGACUCGGUGAAGUCUUAGUACCUGUGAAGAUGCAGGUUGCCCGCGACUAGACGGAAAGACCCCAUGGAGCUUCACUGCAGGUUGACAUUGGGCUUGGAUGCAUGAUGUACAGGAUAGGUGGGAGGCUGUGAGCCGUGCGCGCCAGCGUACGGGGAGCCGCUGUUGGGAUACCACCCUUCAUGCAUCUAGGUCCUAACCGGAGGCAACGGGCCACGGGACAGUGUCAGUCGGGCAGUUUGACUGGGGCGGUCGCCUCCCAAAGAGUAACGGAGGCGCCCAAAGAUACCCUCAGCAUGGAUGGAAACCAUGCAUAGAGUGCAAAGGCAUAAGGGUGUCUGACUGCGAGACAUACAGGUCGAGCAGGGACGAAAGUCGGGCUUAGUGAUCCGGCGGAUCCGAAUGGAAGGGCCGUCGCUCAACGGAUAAAAGCUACCCUGGGGAUAACAGGCUGAUCUCCCCCAAGAGUUCACAUCGACGGGGAGGUUUGGCACCUCGAUGUCGGCUCAUCGCAUCCUGGAGCUGAAGUCGGUUCCAAGGGUUGGGCUGUUCGCCCAUUAAAGCGGUACGCGAGCUGGGUUCAGAACGUCGUGAGACAGUUCGGUCCCUAUCUGUCGUGGGCGCAGGAGGUUUGAGGAGAGCUGCCCCUAGUACGAGAGGACCGGGGUGGACGGACCGAUGGUGCACCAGUUGUCACGCCAGUGGCACAGCUGGGCAGCCAAGUGCGGACGGGAUAAGCGCUGAAGGCAUCUAA
rnacentral:rRNA from 1 species